GAACGAAAGUCUUAUGGAUUUGGAACGGCAUGAGGGCAAAUUCGAGUGACCAACUUGAACAUGAGCGCAACCUGCGUGGCGAUUGACUUUCGUUCUCACGAGAAACUCCCACUCACAUGAAUUCCUAUGACUGGAUUUUGCUUGCAAGAUUUCACUGAACAAAGGGCAUACUCCAGGCAACCAGGGGAGAAGAAGAGAGAAAUGGAGGGAGGAAAAAGAACUAGGCCAUCUAAAAAAAGGAGAGAUGGGGAACAGGAACUCUCACCUGGCAGGAUUUGAUGACACACAUAAGUUGCAGGAUGUAAUUCAAACUAAGUUUCAGAAUAGCAGCGGUCUGAAACACAUCAACAAAACAAUUUGCUCUUGAGUUUGUUACA